ACAGAGGGUGCGAGCGUUAAUCGGAAUUACUGGGCGUAAAGCGCGCGUAGGUGGCUUGUUAAGUCGGAUGUGAAAGCCCUGGGCUUAACCUGGGAAUUGCAUUCGAUACUGGCAGGCUAGAGUGUGGUAGAGGGAAGUGGAAUUCCCGGUGUAGCGGUGAAAUGCGUAGAUAUCUGGAGGAACACCGGUGGCGAAGGCGGCAUCCUGGACCGAGAUUGACGCUGAUGCGCGAAAGCCAGGGGAGCAAACGGGA
rnacentral:rRNA from 1 species